AGAGGAAUUCCACCAAAUUGCAGUAUUCGGCUAGAAAGGGAGCUCCUAUAGAAGCUACAGAAGUUUACAUUUUUCUGAACUAAGGGAAGAAAAACAUCUUUCACCCAUGCUCCAGAAUGCCUAUAUUAAUUUAACUUUUCUUUAAUUGGGUGUAGCCCUGUGUCUAGUUUCUUGAAUGGAGAAGAAUACAACACCCAUAUGACCAACAAUACCCCAUUACAAAAAGAACAAAAAAAAAUGGCAGAGUAUCCACCGUAGUUCAUCAGAACAGAUCCAGCACAGAACAACACCAAAGCUGAGUAAAAACCACUCACAGAAGAAAUCCAGAAAACAUACCUCAGGUUCCUGCUAUGCCUAAAUCUUCAUCAACAUAUACCAAUCACCUGCAAUCAAAAGAAAACGGCAUCAAUAUUUUUCAUUCUCUGCCAAAUGCCCAAACCACAGGAAAACCUUAUCAAUCUAAAUGAGUCUAAAAGGAAAGUGAAUAUUGACUUAAGCUUGAGAGAUAUAGACAGACAGACAGAUUCACUGUAUGAGUUUUAAUAAGUCAUAUUACUGUGAAUCUCAAAAAUCUGAAGGUUUGUUGAAGGGGUUUAUGGUCCAAAAUCCUGCUCAGACCCAAAUAAAUUUUGUGCAGUGUUCUUCAAAGCUGCUUAUGUCUUUUAAAAUUAUAAAACAAACCAUUAACAAGAAGUAACAACCCAAUAAAUUUGAUAAAUAGUUUCAAGAAAAGAACUGAGAAUCAUUUGGCUUUCAUAUGGAGCAAUGAUUUAAAAAUCUAUAUAUAAGAAAAGAAAAAGAAAAAAUAAAAGGGAAAAUGAAAAAUGGAAAUAGAUCCAGGGACAGUUCCUUAUAGAAAACGAAUAUAAAUCAUUAGCCCCGGAUACCAUAAAAAGGCAGGAGAUCAAAGAGGAAUGGUGGGAACGCUGUCUUGGAAAACAAGCCACAAAGAUAAUACUAAAUGGGUAAGUGAUUUAUGAAUUUGUGCUGUGAAUUUUCUCCAAAUCAACAUAGAUUUUUUUUUUUUUUUUUUGGUGGGUUUCGAAGAGUGAAUGAAUUUUACUUUGAGUUUGAGCGGGUCAAAAAG
rnacentral:lncRNA from 1 species